AUAAUGAUACUUCUGUGAUGAGCAGCGGGGGCGUAUCAGUCACCCGGGGUGAGACUCCCAUGU
rnacentral:ncRNA from 1 species